GCAGCGUCUGGUUUCGCAGGGGGAGGCUUAGGUAGCCUUCCACGCUGUCGGACUUCCGCUUCCGGUCUCCGGCCUCCGGCCUCCGGCCGCGGUAGCUAUGGAGGAACCGGAGAUGCAGCUCAAGGGAAAGAAAGUCACAGACAAGUUCACGGAGAGUGUCUAUGUCCUGGCCAACGAGCCAUCGGUGGCCCUGUACCGGUUGCAGGAACAUGUGCGUCGCUCUUUGCCCGAGCUGGCUCAGCAUAAGGCCGACAUGCAGCGAUGGGAGGAGCAGAGCCAGGGAGCCAUUUACACAGUGGAGUAUGCCUGCAGCGCUGUGAAGAAUCUUGUCGACAGCAGCAUCUACUUCCGCAGUGUGGAAGGUCUCCUCAAACAGGCCAUCAGCAUCCGGGACCACAUGAACGCUGCCUCCCAGGGCCACAGGUAGCUCCAGGGACCACCCGCUCCUGCUGCUCUCAUCCUCUUCACUCCCUGAGGAACCACCCCCGUCCUCCUCAACAUGAUCCCAGAAGAGACUUGGAGGUGCUUUGGCCCCUCUGGCUCAGGCAGAGCCCAGCAUGGUGAUUACCCAGCCAGCUCAGGAAUCUUCGCUCCACUGCCGAUCUGCUGCUGUGUGACCCUGAGAAAGUCCCUCCCAUCCCUGGUCUCUGCUUUUCCCUUCUAUCAGAGUGGUUCAUCAGGUGGCAGAGGGUGCUGCUGCACAGUGAUGUGUGUUAUAGCCUUCAGCCACUGCUCCACGACAGACUGUCCCAGAACUUAGUGGCUGACACACCAGACAUUUGCCUGCUCACAAUUCUGUGACUUGAGCUGGGCUCAGCUGGGCAGUUUUGCUGGGCUUACCUGGAGGCCAGUAUCUGGCACUCAUCAGAGUCUGAUGGGGCAGCACAGUCAGAGGUGGCCUUGCUUGCACAUCUGCAUUUGGGCCAGUGCUGUCGCCUACAGGGGGUCCGGUUCUCCUCUGCAUGGCCUCCCCAGCAGGUCAGCCCAGGCUCCUCUGGUGACCGGGUGCCAGGAGGGCAGCCCCAGUGUGCACGUGCUCAUCCAGCCUCUUCUCGCUUCACAUUGCGGAUAUUCCGUUGGUCAAGGCCAGCCACAUGGCCAGGCCCAAGACCUGAUGGGGAGGACUACAAGAAGGCAUCAACACCAGGAAGUGUGGUUGACUGUGUGAAGAGAACCUGGCACCAAGGAAGGCUGAGCAUGUUGCUAUUCUGUGCCCAUGUAGGGCAGACCCCUGCAGGUGGGAGGCCCCUGAGGGACUUUCUGAGCUCUUACUCUUGUAGCUCGCAAAGCCCUGCUCAUUUGCAGGGCACUGUGAUGGCGCUCCAUCCACAGAGGCCCUCCCAGAGGGUUGGGGAGGCACAGGUGGGAACGGGGCCUUCACAGCCCCAGAGUGACAGUCCCUCCCCAGAGCCAGGAGGCAACAGACAGCAGAGCUCAUGCAUAUGCAGUCAAAGUACUUAUUGGACACCUGCCAUGUGCUAGGUCUAGCUCUCUGGGGGUAGUGAGGAAUCUCACAGGCUGUGGGAUUGCCUGGGGGGCAUCUGGGAGGGCCUGGAGCUGGAGCGGCUGCCAAGAGGGUCAGCAACCUACCCAGUGGCCUACACAGGGUUGCCCACCGGCCCUGGGCCCACACGCUGCCAUCUCUGCCUCCCAUCUUUUUGUCCUGGUCCCUCCCACCAUCCAACCUCAAGGAUACCACCCCGCUGCCCUUCCCACACCCUGUGCCAUCUACUGCCCCUUUGCUGCUGCACCCCCUCUGAAUAAAAUGCUCUGUGGCUUUUCCUGA